GACGAACGCUGGCGGCGUGCUUAACACAUGCAAGUCGAACGAAGUGGCGAACGGGUGAGUAACGCGUAAUCAACCUGCCCUUCAGAGGGGGACAACAGUUGGAAACGACUGCUAAUACCCCAUACUGAAGGAGGGGAUUGCGUCGGAUUAGCUAGUUGGAGGGUAACGGCCAACCAAGGCGAUGAUCAGUAGCCGGUCUGAGGGGAUGAACGGCCACAAUUGGACUGGGACACGGCCCAGACCUCUACGGGAGGCAGCAGUGGGGAAUUUUCCGAAAUGGACGGAAGUCUGACGGAGCAACGCCGCGUGAGUGAUGACGGCCUUCGGGUUUUAAAGCUCUGUUAAUCGGGACGCGGUACCGGAAUAGAAAGCCACGGCUAACUACGUGCCAGCAGCCGCGGUAAUAC
rnacentral:rRNA from 1 species